UUAGAGGGACUAUCGGCUCAAGCCGAUGGAAGUUUGAGGCAAUAACAGGUCUGUGAUGCCCUUAGAWGUUYUGGGCCGCACGCGCGCUACMCUGACAGAGCCAACGAGUAUAAACCUUAACCGAGAGGUUUGGGUAAUCUUGUUAAACUCUGUCGUGCUGGGGAUAGAGCAUUGCAAUUAUUGCUCUUCAACGAGGAAUAUCUAGUAAGCGCAAGUCAUCAGCUUGCGUUGAUUACGUCCCUGCCCUUUGUACACACCGCCCGUCGCUACUACCGAUUGAAUGGCUCAGUGAGGCCUUCGGACUGGCUCAGGGAGGUCGGCAACGACCAUCCAGAGCCGGAAAGUUGGUCAAACUUGGUCAUUUAGAGGAAGUAAAAGUCGUAACAAGGUUUCCGUAGGUGAACCUGCGGAAGGAUCAUUACUAUAACAGAAAGUUGCUGGUUCAGGCCAGUUAACAUUCUUCAACCCUUUGUGAACCAAAAAACUUUAGCUUCGGUAGCAGGCCGGUUAACUUCUGAUUACCGCGCCAUCAGCCUGCCUGUAGCACCUAACCAAACUGUUAUUUAAACAUUGUCUGAAUCAAAUCAUUUUCGAAUGAAAUUAAAACUUUCAACAACGGAUCUCUUGGUUCUCGCAUCGAUGAAGAACGCAGCGAAACGCGAUAGUUAAUGUGAAUUGCAGAAUUCAGUGAAUCAUCGAAUCUUUGAACGCACAUUGCGCCCCUUGGUAUUCCGAAGGGCAUGUCUGUUUGAGCGUCAUUUCAACACCCUCACCUAAGGUUUUGCUACCAAAAGGUGGUCUUGGGCUGUGCCUUAACCGGCUGGCUUUAAAGUUGACGUUCUGUGUGGUACUCAUCCUUACCUUCUGUAGUAAUUUAUUUUAUAACUGUUCGUUAGGAUUUGGCAAGCACCUGAAAAAAUCUUUCUUCUAAGGUUUGACCUCAGAUCAGACAAGGAUACCCGCUGAACUUAAGCAUAUCAAUAAGCGGAGGAAAAGAAACCAACAGGGAUUGCCUCAGUAACGGCGAGUGAAGCGGCAACAGCUCAAAUUUGAAAUCUGGAGUCUUUGACUUCCGAGUUGUAAUUUGAAGAGGAUGUUACGGUUGUGACCAUGGCCUAAGUUCCUUGGAACAGGACGUCGUAGAGGGUGAGAAUCCCGUACACGGCUGAUGGUUUACUUCCAUGUGUAGCUCCUUCGAAGAGUCGAGUUGUUUGGGAAUGCAGCUCAAAUUGGGUGGUAAAUUUCAUCUAAAGCUAAAUACUGGCGAGAGACCGAUAGCGCACAAGUAGAGUGAUCGAAAGAUGAAAAGCACUUUGAAAAGAGAGUUAAACAGUACGUGAAAUUGUUGAAAGGGAAGCGCUUGCAAUCAGACUUGCUUUCGGUUGAUCAACGUUCCUUUUGGUUCGUGUACUCUGCCGUUUGCAGGCCAGCAUCAGUUUGAGCGGUAGGAUAAAAGUUUAGGGAAUGUGGCUCUCUUCGGGGAGUGUUAUAGCCCUUUUCACAAUGCUACCUGUACAGACUGAGGUCCGCGCUUUGCUAGGAUGCUGGCUUAAUGGUUGUAAGCGACCCGUCUUGAAACACGGACCAAGGAGUCUAACAUUUAUGCGAGUGUUUGGGUGUUAAACCCAUACGCGAAAUGAAAGUGAACGGAGGUGGGAGUCUUCGGAUGCACCAUCGACCGAUCCUGAUGUUCUUCGGAUGGAUUUGAGUAGGAGCAUAACUGUUGGGACCCGAAAGAUGGUGAACUAUGCCUGAAUAGGGUGAAGCCAGA
rnacentral:rRNA from 1 species